GCGGGUGUAGUUUAGUGGUAAAACCUCAGUCUUCCAAACUGAUGUUGUGAGUUCGAUUCUCAUCACCCGCUCCA
rnacentral:tRNA from 27 species